UAACUUGUUGGCAAUUUCUCGUGGCAUUCCAUCUGAGGCUGCUGCUACAUAUAGAUACCAAUCAUACUCCUACGACGUGUCAAAGUGAAUUGAUAGUUGUGUGAAGCACUGGUAUCAAAGACUGGAAUAAGCUUGCAAUUCGCAAAUCAUCCGCGUAAAGUAUCCAACACAAUAUAUAUAUAUAUAUAUUUAAAACACAAUUCUCUGUUGAGACUUUCGCACUGGCUUUGACGAUUCCUCGAAAAUUGGUUCCUUUAUAAGCGAUUAACUCGUUCAUAUAUGUACGUCCGAUCGAAAGAUGACAAAUGAAAAGAGAAAAGAGCAAGUAAUCGGCAUUGUGUAGCAAUAUCGCUUCACUUUGGUAAAAUAGACCCGCAUGGGAAAGUCGCGGUCGUCAUAAAAUCGCUAUAGGGUUUCGAGAGCAUUCUUAAAAAACAAUAUGAAUUUUACGGAAAUAGCGAUAAUAAGGACAUUUCGAUUUGUGACCGUAACAAUGGGCAAAGCACCAUUAGAUCGCUCGUUGGUGCGUUCACAAAUCUAACUAUCCUUUUCACGUCUGUCAAUUGCAUUCAUUAAUAUACCUUUUUGAAAAUUGUAAAUAGUACAUACUCUAACGAAAAAAAAAAACUUGAAAGACAUCAAUUUGACUUUCGAUACUCUCUGCAACGUACACAUCUAUUAACGCAUAAUUUAUGUAUCUAAUAUAGAUAAUUAAUAUCAAUAGUAACAUGGAUUUUAUAUGAUAGAAUAUCGGUGAUCAAAUCGAUGAUGUUUAAGAAGAAUAAUUAAGAGAAAAUAAAAUUUUUAAUUCGGUAGUUUAUUUGUAUGCUAAGUAGUAGUGCCGUAGGUGAUGAUUUGAAAAAUUCACUUCGGCACGAUUACUUUACAUGCUAGUAGGCGCAAUCGACGUGAAGCUGGUAUGAAAAUAAAGUUUAUAAAAUACUGAAAUUUUAUAGAUGUUUUAUAGAAUACUGAAAUUGUGUGCUUAUUCUCGGCACGAGUAUAAAAAUAAAAACUAAACAUUUCGUAAAUUAAAAAUUCUCUUAAUUUUUAAUUUAUUUCUUUUCCUUCAAUUCCCGAGUUAAUUAACUUCUAAAAUUUUUCAUGCUUUCUUAUAUUUCAGUUUUGACAAUCAAUUGGAUUAUGGGAUAUAAUCUACGACGAGAACGCGUAAUCUCGUCGCGGAAUUUGAAUGAGGGCCUUACUGGACCGGUGAAUAGUUUGAUAACAGCUCCCAUCUAGAUAGAUAAAGGGGAAAGGAGAGACAAGAUCAUUCGCCGUCGGUUGGCGGACUAUUCAGUGCCGCGACCGACACUGAUUUCAAUUGGUAAAUUGACUCAGAACGAGUGGGAGAGAAAAAAAUGGCGGCACGGAGUAACCGACGAUGAAGCCACGGAAGUAGGGGAAAAAACAGUGGCGUAACUAACAUUAAAAAGAACGUUUAACCCUAGCUAGCCAUACUUAUUUUCGAGUCCUUAAUUCGCCACACUCCGGUCCGUGAGACCGCUCGACUUUGUCGCAUCGUCAUUUUCAUUCUAAGUAAUUAAUAUCUUUAAGCUUGUACUGUAGAAAUUGGAAAUACAGACUCUAAAUAAAAUGUUUAUGAUAAUAUCAAGUCAAGAAAAUGAUUUGAUUUUGAACUGAACUUAUUAUAAGGAAACUAGAAAAUUAUGUUAUUUUGUGAAAACUAGAAAAUCGAAAAACGUUCAGCGGUCCACUGGACCGGAGUGUGGCGAGUUAGGAUCGUUAGGAUUAAGAAUCUAAAGAGAAAUUAAAAUACAUCAAAUUUUAACAUGAUUUUUUUCACAAAGAUAAAUUAAAGUACAAAAAAAAAUAAACAAUAUUUUAUAUAAAUUUAAGAUAUAACAUUGUGAAUCAAAUUAACGUUUAUGAAAAUUAAAAUAACUUUAUUCUUUUA